rnacentral:rRNA from 1 species
GGGGCCCUCAGGCCCUAACAUAUGUCAAGUCGAGGGGUAACAUAAAAGAGCUUGCUUUUUUGAUGACGACCGGCGCACGGGUGCGUAACGCGUAUACAAUCUGCCUUAUACUGGGGUAUAGCCUUUAGAAAUGAAGAUUAAUCCCCCAUAGUCUCUUUUAAUGGCAUCAUUUUAAGAGUAAAGGUUACGGUAUAAGAUGAGUAUGCGUUCUAUUAGUUUGUUGGUGAGGUAAUGGCUCACCAAGACUACGAUAGAUAGGGGCCCUGAGAGGGGGAUCCCCCACACUGGUACUGAGACACGGACCAGACUCCUACGGGAGGCAGCAGUGAGGAAUAUUGGACAAUGGAGGAAACUCUGAUCCAGCCAUGCCGCGUGCAGGAAGACUGCCCUAUGGGUUGUAAACUGCUUUUAUACAGGAAGAAACCGCUCUACGUGUAGAGCUCUGACGGUACUGUAAGAAUAAGGAUCGGCUAACUCCGUGCCAGCAGCCGCGGUAAUACGGAGGAUCCAAGCGUUAUCCGGAAUCAUUGGG